UCCAGUUGGCUACCCUGAACAAGCCUGAUCCCAUCUGAUCUCGGAAGCUAAGCAGGGUCAGACCUGUUUAGUGCUUGGAUGGAAGACUGCCUAGGAAGACCAGGUGCUGUAG
rnacentral:rRNA from 1 species